CAUGUAUUUGUAUGUAACCGAAUGAUAGUGUUCCUUAGAAUAAGUAAUGUGAAACACGUGAGUAGAUAAGGAAAUUUAGCCGAACGGCAUAUUGUACGAAAUUGAAAAGAACCGAACACUGGUUCAAAUGAACGGGGCUCCGCCAUUUAAAGCUAGGAAGUUUGUGGCAGUUCCUUUACGGCGGGCCUGACUUACGGUUUAAUGCGGUGGCGAAGUAACAAACGGGCUGUGCGGACGCCAGCGACGGGAAGGAGAACCAGGGAAGCACCGGACCAGGAGUCCACGAGGAAGACAGGUAAGAAAAUCCAAAAUGGCGAUCUGAACCAGAAGUAAAUGUUUCAGACUCGCCAGACCAGCAACGAUUGGCAGCCCUUUUAAAGAGAAUUCAAG